rnacentral:rRNA from 1 species
UACAGAGGUCUCAAGCGUUGUUCGGAAUCACUGGGCGUAAAGCGCACGUAGGCGGACUCUUAAGUCGGGGGUGAAAUCCUGGAGCUCAACUCCAGAACUGCCUUCGAUACUGGGAGCCUUCGAGUUCGGGAGAGGUGAGUGGAACUGCGAGUGUAGAGGUGAAAUUCGUAGAUAUCGUCUGGAACGCCAAAGGUGAAAACAGACUGCUGGGAGUGUGCUGACGCUGAGACACGAAAGCCAGGGGAGCAAACGGG